rnacentral:rRNA from 1 species
UGGGGAAUUUUGGACAAUGGGCGCAAGCCUGAUCCAGCCAUGCCGCGUGGGUGAAGAAGGCCUUCGGGUUGUAAAGCCCUUUCGGCUGGGACGAAAAGGUCCGUGUUAACACCACGGAUCCAUGACGGUACCAGCAGAAGAAGCACCGGCUAACUACGUGCCAGCAGCCGCGGUAAUACGUAGGGUGCAGGCGUUAAUCGGAAUUACUGGGCGUAAAGCGUGCGCAGGCGGUCUUUUAAGUCAGAUGUGAAAUCCCCGGGCUUAACCUGGGAACUGCGUUUGAAACUGGAAGGCUUGAGUGUGGCAGAGGGGGGUGGAAUUCCACGUGUAGCAGUGAAAUGCGUAGAGAUGUGGAGGAACACCGAUGGCGAAGGCAGCCCCCUGGGCUAACACUGACGCUCAUGCACGAAAGCGUGGGGAGCAAACAG